GACAGAGGAUGCAAGCGUUAUCCGGAAUGAUUGGGCGUAAAGCGUCUGUAGGUGGCUUUUUAAGUUCGCCGUCAAAUCCCAGGGCUCAACCCUGGACAGGUGGUGGAAACUACCAAGCUAGAGUACGGUAGGGGCAGGGGGAAUUUCCGGUGGAGCGAUGAGAUGCGUAGAGAUCGGAAGGAACACCCAAGGCGAAAGCACUCUGCUGGGCCGACACUGACACUGAGAGACGAAAGCUAGGGGAGCAAACGGG
rnacentral:rRNA from 1 species